UCCUCCUCCUCCUCCUCCGCUUCUGGCUUCUCCUCCUUCUUCUCAGGCUCAUCACAACAACUUUUACACCUCCUCCUCCUCCUUUUCUUCUUCUUCUUCUUCUUUUUUUUUUUUUAUGGCGUCUCGCCCAGCCUGGAGUGCAGAGGCAGUCUUGGCUCACUGCAACCUCCACCUCCGGGGUUCAACUGAUUUUCCCGCCUCAGCCUGCUGAGUAGCUGGGAUUACAGGCACCCUCAUCAAGUCCGGCUAAUUUUUGUAUUUUUAGUAGAGACAGGGUUUCACCAUGUUGGCUAGGCUGGUCUUGACCUCCUGACCUCGGGUGAUCCUCCUGCCUCGGCCUCCCAAAAUGCUGGGAUUACAGGCGUGAGCCACCACGCACGGCUUCUGUUGUUCGUUGAAAUCAUCAUUUUUCUAAUGUCCUCAUUCUCUGCUGGCUAGUUUAAGGGCUGAUUCAAAAAAUAAAUUUUCACACUGUGAAAUACGCAAGAUGAAGAGAACAUUUAUAAAAUAUCCAUACUGUGCAUCUCUGAAUAAUCUUUUCUUCACAUCAGCGGCAGUACAAAUUAGGUGGAGUUUUAAAAGAUACUUCAGCAACUUACAGAUUACAGCAUGUUAUGUAUCUUCAAGUGGUUUUAUCUCUUUUGAUUGAAGAAUUUAAUCAAUUUCUAUUCAAGAUAACUAUUCAUAGAUAUUUUGCUUCAUUGGUGUGCUUGAACAUUUCUGGAUUCCUAGACUCCCAGAAAGCAGUGAGAGGAUAUUACGUUGCAGAAUUUGGUCAGAAUAUGAAGUUUGGAAGACCCUAUAUUCCUGCAGAUCCUUGGAUUGAGGUUAAUUCGAGAGCAAGCCGUGAGUGAGGCCUCUGAGCUCAAGCCUGCACGUAUACAUCCAGAUGGCCUGAAGUAACUGAAGAAUCACAAAAGAAGUGAAAAUGGUCAGUUCCUGCCUUAACUGAUGACAUUACCUUGUGAAAUUCCUUCUCCUGGCUCAUCCUGGCUCAAAAGCUCCCCCACUGAGCACCCUGUGACCCCCAUCCCUGUCCACCAGAGAACAACUCCCUUUGACUGUAAUUUUCCACUACCCACCCAAAUCCUAUAAAAUGGCCCCACCCCUAUCUCCCUUCGCAGACUCUCUUUUUGGACUCAGCCCACUGCACCCAGGUGAAAUAAACAGCCUUGUUGCUCACACAAAGCCUGUUUGGUGCUCUCUUCACACGGACGCGUGUGACACUUC
rnacentral:lncRNA from 1 species